UGUGACAGGUUUUACAUAAUAAUAGCUAUACAAUGUAUUAGAUACUAGAAAGAAAACGAUCAGUACUGUUUGUAUUUUUUAAACAAAAACAUAACCUACGUUUUGUUUAUAUAACAAAGAAUUGUGAGCUCUGUAUAUUAUUGAACAUUCAAAUUUUGGUUGACUUUUAGAGAUGGAAAAAUCAAUGUUGAACAAAACCGUAACUAUGCAUAUGCCUCACUCAAUUACAAUGAACUAAAUAGCCUUGGUCUUUUUAAUAUAGCUAAAUAACAAUAAUCGUAUUUAAAUCUGACGAUGAAAUGUUAUGAAGAAAAUAAAUAUGCAUGUUUUAUUAUUUUAUAGAACAAACUGGAGACCAGAAUGAGGCAGUAGAAACACCCUUGUUGGAAGCAAACAAAGAGAAGAAUGAAGGCGGUGAAAAAACGGCGAAAGUGGAAAACAUGUGUACCCAAAAAGUAGAGGAUAUCAGACAAUUUGGAAUUCAUAGUUUGUCCGGGGAUGUUGAAGAGAAUUGUUAUCUUAGGGACGUCAAAACUAUCGGCGAUUUACGAGACUUACUUUCUGCAAAGAUUAAAAAACCAAAAGGAUUACUACUUCUCGUUGAUAGAGAAAAGGGGAUAAUUUUCAACGAUGACACUGAAAUUGAAACCCUUAUAGCAAUGCCCAAUGAAAUGAUGAUAGGAAACCAAAACAGGAUGACGGCGACAGGAGAGGAUGACAAAACUCCGGUUGAUGACGUUAUAUCCAACAAACUUUUAACUGUCGGAAAAUGUAAAAUGUGGUGUGGACAUUGGACAGCUCCGAAUUCACUUUUUGAUUGGACAAAAGAGAAAUUGCCUGGUGCCUUAACUGAAGGUCUCCCAUGCCCAAAGUGUAGUAAGAUGUGGAAUAUAGACGACCUAAUAGAAAAAUGCAAAAUGUCUCCAGAUGAACGACUUUUCUUUAAAUCAGUUGAAACUAUUAUUAAACGUAAUGUUGAACUUGCAAAGUAGACAAUAUUGUACAUUCUUGUUUAGCAAUGUUGAUAUCAUAGCGUUACAUGUAUAUUGUAUAAACAUUGAUUGCCUAUGCUUUUUUUUAAAACGAUAAAACAUGUACAUAUAUGGAUAUGGGGGUUUUGUGUGUAAUAAAACAAAAUUAGUG
rnacentral:misc_RNA from 1 species